GGGUGGCGGCUGGAUCCUGAGCUGUGUCCCCGGUGCCCAGUGCUCCCGGGCCUGCGCUGUUGGAUUCACGCUCCCAGUGGCGCAGCCCCCU
rnacentral:pre_miRNA from 1 species